UCUGCAGAAUUCGCCCUUAGAGUUUGAUCAUGGCUCAGAGCGAACGCUGGCGGCAGGCCUAACACAUGCAAGUCGAACGAACUCUUCGGAGUUAGUGGCGGACGGGUGAGUAACACGUGGGAACGUGCCUUUUGGUUCGGAAUAACUCAGGGAAACUUGUGCUAAUACCGAAUGUGCCCUUCGGGGGAAAGAUUUAUCGCCAUUAGAGCGGCCCGCGUCUGAUUAGCUAGUUGGUGAGGUAACGGCUCACCAAGGCGACGAUCAGUAGCUGGUCUGAGAGGAUGACCAGCCACACUGGGACUGAGACACGGCCCAGACUCCUACGGGAGGCAGCA
rnacentral:rRNA from 1 species